CGUUAGCGGCGGACGGGUGAGUAACACGUGGAUAACCUACCUAUAAGACUGGGAUAACUUCGGGAAACCGGAGCUAAUACCGGAUAAUAUAUUGAACCGCAUGGUUCAAUAGUGAAAGACGGUUUUGCCGUCACUUAUAGAUGGAUCCGCGCCGCAUUAGCUAGUUGGUAAGGUAACGGCUUACCAAGGCAACGAUGCGUAGCCGACCUGAGAGGGUGAUCGGCCACACUGGAACUGAGACACGGUCCAG
rnacentral:rRNA from 1 species